UACACAUGCAAGUCGAGCGGUAACAUUUCUAGCUUGCUAGAAGAUGACGAGCGGCGGACGGGUGAGUAACGCGUAGGAAUCUGCCUAGUAGUGGGGGACAACAUGUGGAAACGCAUGCUAAUACCGCAUACGCCCUACGGGGGAAAGGAGGGGAUCUUCGGACCUUUCGCUAUUAGAUGAGCCUGCGUGAGAUUAGCUAGUUGGUGGGGUAAAGGCCUACCAAGGCGACGAUCUCUAGCUGGUCUGAGAGGAUGAUCAGCCACACUGGGACUGAGACACGGCCCAGACUCCUACGGGAGGCAGCAGUGGGGAAUAUUGGACAAUGGGCGCAAGCCUGAUCCAGCCAUGCCGCGUGUGUGAAGAAGGCCUUAGGGUUGUAAAGCACUUUCAGGAGUGAGGAAGGGCGUAUAGUUAAUACCUGUAUGUUUUGACGUUAACUCCAGAAGAAGCACCGGCUAACUCUGUGCCAGCAGCCGCGGUAAUACAGAGGGUGCGAGCGUUAAUCGGAAUUACUGGGCGUAAAGCGCGCGUAGGCGGUUUGUUAAGUCGGAUGUGAAAUC
rnacentral:rRNA from 1 species